GUGCCAGCAGCCGCGGUAAUACAGAGGGUGCAAGCGUUAAUCGGAAUUACUGGGCGUAAAGCGCGCGUAGGCGGUUGUGUAAGUUGGAUGUGAAAUCCCCGGGCUUAACCUGGGCACUGCAUUCAAAACUGCACGGCUAGAGUAUUGGAGAGGAAGGUAGAAUUCCAGGUGUAGCGGUGAAAUGCGUAGAGAUCUGGAGGAAUACCGAUGGCGAAGGCAGCCUUCUGGCCAAAUACUGACGCUGAGGUGCGAAAGCAUGGGGAGCAAACAGGAUUAGAAACCCUUGUAGUCC
rnacentral:rRNA from 1 species